rnacentral:rRNA from 1 species
UAUCCUACGGGACGCAGCAGUGGGGAAUAUUGCACAAUGGGGGAAACCCUGAUGCAGCGACGCCGCGUGGGUGACGAAGUAUUUCGGUAUGUAAAGCCCUAUCAGCAGGGAAGAAGAUGACAGUACCUGACUAAGAAGCCCCGGCUAACUACGUGCCAGCAGCCGCGGAAAUACGUGGGGGGCACGCGUUAUCCGGAUUUACUGGGUGUAAAGGGAGCGUAGGUGGCAUGGCAAGCCAGAAGUGAAAACCCGGGGCUUAACCCCG